CCUACGGGCUGCUGCAGUGGGGAAUAUUGGACAAUGGGCGAAAGCCUGAUCCAGCCAUGCCGCGUGUGUGAAGAAGGCCUUCGGGUUGUAAAGCACUUUCAGUGGGGAAGAAAGCCUUGGGGCUAAUACCCUCGAGGAAGGACAUCACCCACAGAAGAAGCACCGGCUAACUCCAUGCCAGCAGCCGCGGUAAUACGGAGGGUGCGAGCGUUAAUCGGAAUUACUGGGCGUAAAGCGCGCGUAGGCGGUCUGAUAAGCCGGUUGUGAAAGCCCCGGGCUCAACCUGGGAACGGCAUCCGGAACUGUCAGGCUAGAGUGCAGGAGAGGAAGGUAGAAUUCCCGGUGUAGCGGUGAAAUGCGUAGAGAUCGGGAGGAAUACCAGUGGCGAAGGCGGCCUUCUGGACUGACACUGACGCUGAGGUGCGAAAGCGUGGGUAGCAAACAGGAUUAGAUACCCGAGUAGUC
rnacentral:rRNA from 1 species